CAAUAGCGUAUAUUAAAGUUGUUGCAGUUAAAAAGCUCGUAGUUGGAUUUCUGGUGGGAGCGAUCGGUCUGGCGCUUAGCGCGAGUACUUGCAUCGUCUCCGGCCAUCCUUGGGGAGAGUCUGUCUGGCAUUAAGUUGUCGGGCAGAGGAUCCUCAUCGUUUACUGUGAAAAAAUUAGAGUGUUCAAAGCAGGCUUAUGCCAUUGAAUAUAUUAGCAUGGAAUAAUAAGAUAGGACUUUGGUACUAUUUUGUUGGUUUGCGCACCAAAGUAAUGAUUAAUAGGGACAGUUGGGGGUAUUCGUAUUCCGUUGUCAGAGGUGAAAUUCUUGGAUUUACGGAAGACGGACUACUGCGAAAGCAUUUACCAAGGAUGUUUUCAUUAA
rnacentral:rRNA from 1 species